ensembl:lncRNA
GCAAGGCUAGAGGAAGGAGACAGGCAAGGGGACAAGGAUACCAGGCAAGGAAAAGAAGGCAAAGAAGAAUGCAAUUACAAAACAAAUAGGAAACUGAAAGCAGAGCACAGAAAAACCACUGGAAAAGAGGAGAAAAUACAGAGAGACUUUUAGAACGAACAACAAUAAGCGAAAGGCGGCCCAAGGAAGAAAGGGAAAGCGAAAGCCGGCCAAAAGCACAGCAGGAACACACAGAGAACAGCACUGAGUUAAACAGUCAGAAAGAGAAAUGGAAGCAAAAGAUCAACAAAGUACAUCCAAGUUAAAAACCAACUGAAAAAGAGGAAACACGAAAGCAACGGGAAGAAGAGAGAAGAAGCAGAGUAGGAAAUAAAGCAAAGCAAAGCAAACCAGAAAGCAACGCAAAGCAAUGCGAAGCAGAGGUGAAAAGGAAGAACAGAAGAGCAGAGCAAAGCAAAGCAAAGCAAGGGCAAAUAAAGAAAGCCUCAAUUCUGGCAGCUCGACCCACCUGGCGCUUCAUUUGUUGCUCUUCAUCGGCCCGACUGCUGGGCACACGACAUCUGCACGGCACACCUUUACAGCCACCUUCCUUAUGGUUCAGCACACAGCUCAGCAGCCCAAAGAGGUUUACCCCUCCGCUGCCAGCUGUUUUCUUCCCACUGCUGGAACCACCCCCAGAAGGCAUUUGCCACCAUCCGUGAGGCAGUGGAAAGAGAAAGCAUUGGCCACCCCUCCCGUUCAGCAACACCUAAGGCCAGCGGGACAGCCUUUCCCUCUGCAAAUGCCCUUCCUUCUCCUUUUCCUUCAGGGGCCUCUGCAACUCGUCCUGUGGGGCUCCACACGGCAGCUUUCCAUCUGCGCCGCUUCCCCACAACACCACACGCCCCACCUGUGAACAGGGCACGUUUCGUCACAUCCCACAUCCCGACCUCAAUCCCAACCCCCAUCCCGGCCCCACAGCCCACAUCCCACCCCAACAGACCACAUCCCGGCCCCACAUUCCACAUCCCAAUGCAAAUCCCAAUCCCACACCCCUCAUCCUAUCUCCCACAUCCUAACCUCGAUCCCAACCCAACAUCCACGGCCAACAGCCCCCAUCCCGGCCCCACAGCCCCCAUCCCAAUGGGAAUGCCAAUACCAAUUCACUAAUCCUAUAUCCCGACCCCAACCUCAACCCCAACCUCACAGCCCCCAUCCCAAUGCAAAUCCCAAUCCCACACCCCGAAUCCUAUACCCCACAUCCCAAUCCCACAUCCCAAUCUCAAUCGAUAUCCCUAAUCCCAUAUCCCAGACCUUAUCCCAACCCCAACCCCACCUUCCAAUCCCACACCAUAAUCCCGAUCCCACAGCCCUAAUUCCAUAUCCCACAUCCGAACCCCAAUCCCACACCCAUUUCCCAACCCCACAGGGAGGUGGGUUAUGGCCGCACAGGGCUCUCCUCUCCUCUCCUCCCCUCCCCUCCUGGCGCUGCUCUCCACCCACCCUUCUCCCUCCGUCCCUCCCUCCCCCCGGUACCGCAGAGCUCAGCACCGCUCCCGUCGUGCCG